UACGUAGGGUGCGAGCGUUGUCCGGAAUUAUUGGGCGUAAAGAGCUCGUAGGCGGUGUGUCACGUCGUUCGUGAAAACCUGCAGCUUAACUGUGGGCGUGCGGUCGAUACGGGCAUCACUGGAGUUCGGCAGGGGAGACUGGAAUUCCUGGUGUAGCGGUGAAAUGCGCAGAUAUCAGGAGGAACACCGGUGGCGAAGGCGGGUCUCUGGACAGUUCCUGACACUGAGGCGCGAAGGCCAGGGGAGCAAACGGG
rnacentral:rRNA from 1 species